rnacentral:lncRNA from 1 species
GUCUAGGAGUCUUAACAUGAUAGGAUGCUUGUUUUGAUGAGUUUUAUGAAAUAAAUGCUUAUGUUUAUGAUGACUCACGUGGUUAUGUGUGUAUAUGGAUAUUCUUGGAAAUGUUAGAUUGAUUGGAAAUGAAUUGUAUGAUUGUUUGAGACCUAGCUCACCCUUGCGUUGUAUGUGUUUGCCUUCCCCCUUGCGACGAUC